UACAGAGGUGGCAAGCGUUGUUCGGAAUUACUGGGCGUAAAGGGCGCGUAGGCGGCCUUCUAAGUCAGACGUGAAAUCCCCCGGCUUAACCUGGGAACUGCGUCUGAUACUGGAGGGCUUGAGUAUGGGAGAGGGAUGUAGAAUUCCAGGUGCAGCGGUGAAAUGCGUAGAUAUCUGGAGGAAUACCGGUGGCGAAGGCGGCAUCCUGGACCAUUACUGACGCUGAGGCGCGAAAGCUAGGGGAGCAAACGGG
rnacentral:rRNA from 1 species